rnacentral:rRNA from 1 species
GAUGAACGCUGGCGGCGUGCCUAAUACAUGCAAGUCGAGCGAACGGACGAGAAGCUUGCUUCUCUGAUGUUAGCGGCGGACGGGUGAGUAACACGUGGAUAACCUACCUAUAAGACUGGGAUAACUUCGGGAAACCGGAGCUAAUACCGGAUAAUAUUUUGAACCGCAUGGUUCAAAAGUGAAAGACGGUCUUGCUGUCACUUCUAGAUGGAUCCGCGCUGCAUUAGCUAGUUGGUAAGGUAACGGCUUACCAAGGCAACGAUGCAUAGCCGACCUGAGAGGGUGAUCGGCCACACUGGAACUGAGACACGGUCCAGACUCCUACGGGAGGCAGCAGUAGGGAAUCUUCCGCAAUGGGCGAAAGCCUGACGGAGCAACGCCGCGUGAGUGAUGAAGGUCUUCGGAUCGUAAAACUCUGUUACUAGGGAAGAACAUAUGUGUAAGUAACUGUGCACAUCUUGACGGUACCUAAUCAGAAAGCCACGGCUAACUACGUG